CGACACGACCGAUCCCAUCGUUAGCUCGGCUCGUCCAUCAUCACACCUGAAUCACGAGCGCCUGAACAGAGAGGUUCAGGUCCAGAUCCAGACUGUGGAUGGGAAACAAAGAAGGUCCAAAAGGUUCUGAUGAUCUUCUGAUCCCAGCAGGAAAACCUGUUACGGCCCUGAGCAAACAGAGCAGCGAUCUUUGGAUCUGCAUGCAGGAGUCGAUACCUGGGCUGUAAAACAACAAUAAAGACCUUCUCUGCUCCUGCAGCAGGUUCCUCCAUACCUGAGAGCUUCCAGUCUCCAGUGUGGAUCCUUCAGUCCAGCCCACAGCAGCUUCACUCCUGAGUCUCCUGGAUGAUUGUAGCUCAGGUCCAACUCUUUCA